AUCAACUAACAAAUAAUAUCUAUUUCUAUUUAACUACAUUAAAUGAGGGUUUGGGGGACCUUAGAGUGACGCGUGUCCCCCCAACCCUCCACACACACACACACACACAUAUAUAUAAUACAAAAUUUAAAAUUUUGAUAUUUUUAAAUUUUAAAGUUUUAAAUUUUAAAUUUAAUAUUUUAUAUUUUAAAUUAUAAUAUUUAUUUCCAAAUUUUAAACUUUUCAAAAUUUAAAAUUUUAAAUUAUUUUUAUAUAACUUUUUAUUUAAUUAAUAAUUAGACUUAUAAAACUAUAUAAAAAUAUUAAAAAAUAUAUAAUUUAUUAUAAAAAUAAUUUAUAUCCGCAGCAUCGUCCGGGUAAUUCAUUAGUUAUAC
rnacentral:lncRNA from 1 species